UACGAAGGGGGCGAGCGUUGUUCGGAAUCAUUGGGCGUAAAGGGUGCGUAGGCGGCGCGGUAAGUCGGGUGUGAAAUCUCGGGGCUUAACUCCGAAACUGCAUUCGAUACUGCCGUGCUUGAGGACUGGAGAGGAGACUGGAAUUUACGGUGUAGCAGUGAAAUGCGUAGAGAUCGUAAGGAAGACCAGUGGCGAAGGCGGGUCUCUGGACAGUUCCUGACACUGAGGCACGAAGGCCAGGGGAGCAAACGGG
rnacentral:rRNA from 1 species